rnacentral:rRNA from 1 species
GACGAACGCUGGCGGCGUGCUUAACACAUGCAAGUCGAACGGAAAGGCCCUGCUUUUGUGGGGUGCUCGAGUGGCGAACGGGUGAGUAACACGUGAGUAACCUGCCCUUGACUUUGGGAUAACUUCAGGAAACUGGGGCUAAUACCGGAUAGGAGCUCCUGCUGCAUGGUGGGGGUUGGAAAGUUUCGGCGGUUGGGGAUGGACUCGCGGGUUAUCAGCUUGUUGGUGGGGUAGUGGCUUACCAAGGCUUUGACGGGUAGCCGGCCUGAGAGGGUGAACGGCCACAUUGGGACUGAGAUACGGACCAGACUCCUACGGGAGGCAGCAGUGGGGAAUAUUGCACAAUGGGCGGAAGCCUGAUGCAGCAACGCCGCGUGCGGGAUGACGGCCUUCGGGUUGUAAACCGCUUUCGCCUGUGACGAAGCGUGAGUGACGGUAAUGGGUGAAGAAGCACCGGCUAACUACGUG